CCUUAGUAACUGCGAGUGAAGCGGCAAAAGCUCAAAUUUGAAAUCUGGCGUCUUUGGCGUCCGAAUUGUAAUUUGGAGGGGCAUCUUCGGAGUUGGCGCCGUCCUAAGUUCCUUGGAACAGGACGUCAUAGAGGGUGAGAAUCCCGUGCCUGGAUGGCUGUCCAUCUCCAUGUGAAGUGUCUCCGACGAGUCGAGUUGUUUGGGAAUGCAGCUCAAAAUGGGUGGUAAAUUUCAUCUAAAGCUAAAUAUUGGCGAGAGACCGAUAGCGCACAAGUAGAGUGAUCGAAAGAUGAAAAGCACUUUGAAAAGAGAGUUAAAAAGUACGUGAAAUUGUUGAAAGGGAAGCGCUUGAGACCAGACUCAACUUAAGGUAAUCAUCUGUACAUUCGUAUGGUGCCAUUACCUUUUGUUGGACCAGCAUCGGUUUUGACGGUGGGAUAAAAGGCGGAGGAAUGUGGCUCUCUUCGGGGAGUGUUAUAGCCUCUGUCACAAUGCCACCAGUUGGGACCGAGGACCGCGNUUCGGCUAGGAUGCUGGCGUAAUGGUCUUAAGCGACCCGUCUUGAAACACGGACCAAGGAGUCUAACAUCUAUGCGAGUGUUCGGGUGGAAAACCCUUGCGCGUAAUGNAAGUGAACGGAGGUGGGAACCCCUCGGGGUGCACUCAUCGACCGAUCCUGAUGUCUUCGGAAGGAUUUGAGUAAGAGCAUAGCCUGUUGGGACCCGAAAGAUGGUGAACUAUGCCUGAAUAGGGUGAAGCCAGAGGAAACUCUGGUGGAGGCUCGCAGCGGAUUCUGACNUGCAAAUCGAUCGUCAAAUUUGGGUAUAGGCG
rnacentral:rRNA from 1 species